CUUCUUUCAGCUUUAUCUGCAGAGUCAUCAGUUAAAUAUGCCAGACGAAGAGUUUGUGAUGGAGAGCACUUGCUGGCUCAAACCCAGAAUGAAAGAUGGAGUAUCUGAAGCUGGACCAAAGAAAUAUUGAUUAAAUUUACCUGGGAGAAGCAAAUCAGAAAAUUUUGGUUGACUAGCACAGAGAGAAGAACCAAAGAAAAGGAGGAGCAAAAAAGGAAGAAAGAUCCCAGUCAUGCAAAAUCAAAGAACCUGAAACCAGAAGACUUUUACCAGGCUAGUAUGGUUCUUCCUGCAUUGGGUGUAUACACUGACACCCUAAGUCCUCAUUAUGGGUUAUGCUUGAGCUGAAUGAGGAGUUUGUUCUCUGAUAGCAAAAAGACCUAGAAAGUAUUGAAGAAGUCUCUUAAAGACAGUUCCAAGUUCAUACCAUACUCCAUUCAGGUGCCUGAAAUGUAGAAAAAAAAAAUAAUGCAAACUAUCCAUAUCUGGUCAUCCAUGUAAAUAGAGAGGGGCGCCCAAAGAAUCUGCUUGCUCUAUUUCUAAAAACUGGUUCUAGAUAAAACUGUCCCCAGUUUGAAGGAAAUGCAAAAAGAGAAUUCACAUGGGUUUCAAAUAGUCAUCCUACGGAGAAAUGAACCAAAGAAAGGAAUGCAGCAAGUAGAAGAUAAAAGAACACAAUGAGUGAACAGAAAUGGGGGGGGGGGGAUGAAGAAAACAAUUGUAUCAAGUACAAAGUCAAGUAGAGCAUUGGAUCUAUGAACAAAGGAGAUUAGUGAUGAGACAAUCAGUAAAAAGGUGAGGUUGAAGGAGACCUAGUAGUAGUUAGAAAAAGUGAGCAGAUGGUGCCAUUGCCAUAAUAAUGGACACUUUAGAGACCGGAAGUAGGGAUUUCUAACAAUAGGGUAUCUGAGCGGAAAUUAUUACAUAAGAGUGAAGAAAGGAAAGACAAAGCAGGGAAAAAGGUUGUAGAUAAAUGCUACGUUACGAGAACAGAAACAUAUGGAAAAUUGGAGCCUCCCUGAUGCAGAAAGCAGAACAAAUAGAAUAGGGGAAAAAUUAAAGAUAAAUACUUUCCUGAAAUGAGGAAAUAGCUAAAUUUACACAUUGACAAGGUUCACUUUGUUCCCAGAAAAGUUAAUGGAGCACAUUCAAAACCAAAACAUAUCCUGUUGAAAUUAUUGAAUUAUGGGGACAAAAAAAGUAAUGCCAAAGGCAUUUGGGCAAAAGAAAUAACUCACCUAUAAAGGAAAAAAAAAAAUCAGGGGAGCCUUAGACUUCUUUAGGGCAAUCAUUGUGGAUUAAAUUCAAGUCUGUGAUGUUUCUAAGGAAAGCAGAAUGAAUUGAAGUCCCAUUCCUAGGCAAGUCACCAUUAAUGUGUAAAAAAGCCAAAAAGACAUAGUCGGAUCGUCUGGGAUGUGGGAGCCAUAUUACCUACAAGCAAAUCUGUGUAUAAUUUAUACAACUAAGAUACUAGUCAAAACAAUGAAGUUUUGAUGUGGCAACCAACUAAUGUUAACUAAACAAAAUAGAUAUGUAGAAGUGGGAUAACCUUACCAGUUAAAAGGAAAAGUUUAUUUUUGUCUGUUUUUCCUUAAAUAAACCUAAAGUAAGUUGUAUAUAAGUGACAUGUUUAAAGUAAAGCGACUCAAAAGGAACAAAGUAAAUGAUCAGGCAAGAUUUAUAGCAAAUAAAUAUAAUGCAUUCGAACAUAAAUCAAGAGAUAAAGUUAAGAUGAAAAAGUGGUAAUCAAAAAAAUGUAUUAAUUGGACCAAAAAAGAGUGAUUCGAUGAGACAUAAUGUCCAAAAAGAACACAUCACUGUUAUUAAAUACCUAUGAAAUUAUAAUGACCUACUUUAACAUGUUCUGGGAACUUCAUGACUUCUGGCUUUGCAUGUUACUCAUUGCCUUAUCACAUCUGUUGAA